rnacentral:lncRNA from 1 species
AUAUGUAGGGGGUGAUUUGUUUUUAUAAUAUUUCUGUUUAAUUUUUAAUUUAAACAUAUUUAAAGAAAGUUCAUUUCUAAUACUUAAAUCGAGCGAAUUCCACAGUUUGAUACUAGAUGAAAUAAAUGAUUCCUGAUAAAGAGACAGUCUGCUAGAGGUUUGGUAUAUAUUUUGACUGCUUCGUAGAUUGUAAUUGUUUGUUUCUGCAACUGUAGGGGGUAUUAAAUCUAAUAAGUAAUCUGGGGCGUCCUCUUUCAUAAUUUUGUAAAAUAAAGUUAAUUUCUUAACUUCCCGUCUAAUCUUUAAUUUUUCCCAUCCCGUCUCUAAAUAAAGUGAUUGAGUGCUAGCAUAGCUUGUUAGACCAGUGACAAUACGUGCUGCUUCCAGUUGUAAUUUUUCUAAUCUUUCAGAAUUCAACUGUCCGCAAUUAU